GACGAACGCUGGCGGCGUGCUUAACACAUGCAAGUCGAACGGAAAGGCCCUGCUUUUGUGGGGUGCUCGAGUGGCGAACGGGUGAGUAACACGUGAGUAACCUGCCCUUGACUUUGGGAUAACUUCAGGAAACUGGGGCUAAUACCGGAUAGGAGCUCCUGCUGCAUGGUGGGGGUUGGAAAGUUUCGGCGGUUGGGGAUGGACUCGCGGCUUAUCAGCUUGUUGGUGAGGUAGUGGCUUACCAAGGCUGUGACGGGUAGCCGGCCUGAGAGGGUGACCGGGCACAUGGGGACUGAGAGACGGCCCAGACUCCUACGGGAGGCAGCAGUGGGGAAUAUUACACAAUGGGCGGAAGCGUGAUGCAGCAACGCCGCGUGCGGGAUGACGGCCUUCGAGUUGUGAACCACUGUCGACGGUGACGAAGCGUGAGUGACGGUAAUGGGUAAAGAAGCACCGGCUAACUACGUG
rnacentral:rRNA from 1 species